GUUAACCCUGCCUGACUCUGGAUGUCACUGACGGUGUCCCAGUCCUGCUUCACUGCCACAACAGGAGGAUCCAGCCAUGGCCUCUGAAAUACGGGAGGGCCAGAGACGUCACCCCAUUUCCUCUUUUCCAAGAACCCAUUAAUGCAACUUCAUGUUUCUCGGGCAGUUGACUAUUGACAGUUCCUGUCUUGCCUCAAAUGUUCAUGGUUGCUGCGUCUAUCUCAUGUGCAUUGUUUGCCAUCUGCUGUGCCCCAGGAAGCCAUGGCAGCGUGACAGUGAGCCAGCAUGAACAGUACCAGGAGCCUGAAAGUGCAGCAGCUAAAUGGAAUUCAGCCA